UGUUUCGGCUAGGGGGCCAUCCCGGCUUACCAACCCGAUGCAAACUGCGAAUACCGGAGAAUGUUAUCACGGGAGACACACGGCGGGUGCUAACGUCCGUCGUGAAGAGGGAAACAACCCAGACCGCCAGCUAAGGUCCCAAAGUCAUGGUUAAGUGGGAAACGAUGUGGGAAGGCCCAGACAGCCAGGAUGUUGGCUUAGAAGCAGCCAUCAUUUAAAGAAAGCGUAAUAGCUCACUGGUCGAGUCGGCCUGCGCGGAAGAUGUAACGGGGCUAAACCAUGCACCGAAGCUGCGGCAGCGACACUUUAGUGUUGUUGGGUAGGGGAGCGUUCUGUAAGCCGUUGAAGGUGUCCUGUGAGGGGUGCUGGAGGUAUCAGAAGUGCGAAUGCUGACAUAAGUAACGAUAAAGCGGGUGAAAAGCCCGCUCGCCGGAAGACCAAGGGUUCCUGUCCAACGUUAAUCGGGGCAGGGUGAGUCGACCCCUAAGGCGAGGCCGAAAGGCGUAGUCGAUGGGAAACGGGUUAAUAUUCCCGUACUUGGUGUUACUGCGAAGGGGGGACGGAGAAGGCUAUGUUGGCCGGGCGACGGUAGUCCCGGUUUAAGCGUGUAGGCUGGUUUUCCAGGCAAAUCCGGAAAAUCAAGGCUGAGGCGUGAUGACGAGGCACCACGGUGCUGAAGCAACAAAUGCCCUGCUUCCAGGAAA
rnacentral:rRNA from 2 species